AACUAGGCAGAUGGGCCAUUGGUUUCUGAACAAUUACUUUCGAAGAAAAAAAAACCCUCAUUGUUUACAGAAAUGUUAGAAAAUAUUUUGUUUUUAUUAAUUGAUAUCAAUCUGCCUCAGUCAGAGAUUCCAAGUUCAAAGUUCACUAACUUCUCUUUUGUUGUUCUUACAGAUUUUUGACUUCUCUGUCUUUUGUGGGUGAUAAUAUUUAGAUUUCAGAAUGCAAAAGAGGGUAUUGUAAUUCUCUGCAGGCAGUGAAUCUCUAGCCAUUGAUCUGUGUGUCAUUUCACCAGACUCUCACGCACAGCAAUAUUAUAGUCUGGCAGCAGAUGAUGAAGAUCUGAAACAACCACCCAUUCUGAUUAAAAAAAUCUCUGAUGCUUUUUGCUUGAUCAUGGCGACAGUCUGCCAUGCAUCAUGUUUAAAUCAGAGUAUAAAAAUAAACAGCAAGAUAAGAGAAGAUGCAUGAACUUCCAAUCUCUCAAAUGAGAAGAGUAUUUCAAGUUGUAUAAAUAGAUCAUGUAUACUAAUUACAUUCAUGCUUGGGAAACACAACGGCCAGUGCAGCUUGAAAUUGUUUAGUUUUCUUUUUCUUUAUCUUUUACUUUCAGGAUCAUUCUUUUAGUCAGGGAAACGACCUUUCCAAAUCCUAGAGAGUGCACUUCCAAUUAUUAAGUAUAUUGUUACAUUAUAAUACAAGAAUAUGUUAACAUGUUGUAUAUAUUAAUGAAUAUACAUUUAUGUUUAUUAACUAACACAAACAUCAUAUUAAUAUGUAAUAUAGACAAGCAUAAAUUUUGAUUCGAUAUAUGGAUGAGUGUGGCUCAGAAUUUUAAAUAAAAUUAGUUAAUCUGUGCAAAAAGUAGCACUUGCAACAAAAGCUUCUGAGUUUAAGAGGAAAAAGAACACGAGAAAAUUAUUACAAAACAGCAUGUAAUCCAGAAUUCUUACACAGGCAUUUUCUUAUAGGGUAAAAGAUGAGUAUUUUUAAGCGUCAUUCCGAAUUGUGUUAGCAGCUCCAAUGCCCCGCUUCACUCUGGAUGUAGGGAGGCAUCACGUCCUAGGCCAAGCAAAGACUUGCUGUGACGUUUCUUUACUUGUUGGGAGAGAAAAGUUCUAACAGAAUGCAUCCAAAAGAAAAGCUGAGUUUAUGAAAAUAUUUUAUUAUAUGUAUGUAUGUUACUGCUGAAAGUAUGAGUCAAAAGUGUAAGACAUAUGGAAUGAUAAACUCUAAUAUAAACACUAAUAUUUCUGGAUAAACGUCCAGUUCCCUACCACACUUUAUGUCCUCGUUUAUUCUAAUGUCCUCCAACUUCCAAAAAAAAAAACCAUCAUAUCAUUUCUGAUGCUUCCUCCUGUCAAUAGUUAAUUGGAUCUGAGGCUGACCCAAAUUAUGCCAGUCAGGACUCUAUUUCUAAAGUAAUUUUAUCUAAGCUGAAAGAUCUUAAAAAGGAGGUCUAUGAUCACAUGAAAUAAUGAUCUUUCAAUGUUGGUGUUGGGUGGACAUCAUCAUCUGUUUACUGUGCACAAAUCAGCAUAAUGGAGGCACCAAACAAAUAAUCACAAAAUAAACAAAAACACUGUGGACUACUAAAAUCUAUUGGAAGUGCACAUUUACUUAAAACUCUCUGACUUCCCUUAUUGCUAAGAAUCACAGAUAAUUUCCUCAAAUCCAGACUACUUGCUCAACUUUGUUAAUAAUUUGUAGCAUGAUAUAGUAGUUUUUGGGAAAAGCAGAGUAACCUGGUGAUGAUUUUUAGUUGCCGUAAA
rnacentral:lncRNA from 1 species